CAAACCUUAGUGGGAGAGUUGCCACCGGAUCCCAUAAGAACUCCGGAGUUAAGCGUGCUCGGGUGGGAGCAGUCCUUGGAUGGGUGACCUCCUGGGAAGUCCCCGGGUACGUUGCA
rnacentral:rRNA from 1 species